rnacentral:rRNA from 1 species
GUAGGUGGCAAGCGUUGUCCGGAAUUAUUGGGCGUAAAGCGCGCGCAGGCGGGGUCCUUUAAGUCUGAUGUGAAAGCCCACGGGCUCAACCGUGGAGGGUCAUUGGAAACUGGGGGACUUGAGUACGGAAGAGGAAAGCGGAAUUCCAAGUGUAGCGGUGAAAUGCGUAGAGAUUUGGAGGAACACCAGUGGCGAAGGCGGCUUUCUGGUCUGUAACUGACGCUGAGGCGCGAAAGCGUGGGGAGCAAACAGGAUUAGAUACCCUGGUAGUCCACGCCGUAAACGAUGAGUGCUAAGUGUCAGGGGGUUUCCGCCCCUUAGUGCUGCAGCUAACGCAUUAAGCACUCCGCCUGGGGAGUACGGCCGCAAAGGCUG